rnacentral:rRNA from 1 species
CAGUCGCCGCGGGAAUACAGAGGAUGCAAGCGUUAAUCGGAAUUACUGGGCGUAAAGAGCUCGUAGGUGGUUUGUCGCGUUGUUCGUGAAAACUCACAGCUCAACUGUGGGCGUGCGGGCGAUACGGGCAGACUAGAGUACUGCAGGGGAGACUGGAAUUCCUGGUGUAGCGGUGAAAUGCGCAGAUAUCAGGAGGAACACCGGUGGCGAAGGCGGGUCUCUGGGCCGAUAUUGACGCUGAGGAGCGAAAGCGUGGGGAGCAAACAGGAUUAGAUACCCGUGUAGUCCCUGUCUCUUAUAC